rnacentral:rRNA from 1 species
UACGUAGGGCGCAAGCGUUGUCCGGAAUUAUUGGGCGUAAAGAGCUCGUAGGCGGCUUGUCACGUCGGGUGUGAAAGCCCGGGGCUUAACCCCGGGUCUGCAUUCGAUACGGGCUAGCUAGAGUGUGGUAGGGGAGAUCGGAAUUCCUGGUGUAGCGGUGAAUGCGUAGAUAUCGGGAGGAACGACCGAUGGCGCAAGGCAGCACAUCGUGGGCCGGCACUGU